CCGAGCUCCGCCUGUUCGGCCAGCCUGUUUCAGUUUCCUUCUACUUCCUCAGCAGCGUGGCCAUGGAAACUUUAGACGUCAGCACUGACUAGGCAGCUUUUCUCAGAACCAAGAAAUGCGCGUCCGUUUCACAGCACUUUGUGAGCGGGGGCCCAUCACCAGAGGGCGAUACUGUUAUAGAGAGUCCGGCGCUGAGGAGCUGCAGAGCUGCAGAGCCUGGGAGCGGGAGAGAAGCGCUGUAGCGUGGCCUUUCGGGUUCGACAGAAAACAAAGACAUAGUUUACAAUUCAAUAUCAACACGGUUCAAAAUAAUAAAAAAUAAAAAUCUAACCUACAGGUAUAGUAAUCAUUAAUAAUAAUAAGAAAUUAUUAUUAUUAUUAUUAUUAUUAUUAUUAUUAUUAUUAUUACUGUAAGUUCAGUUUCUAUAGCACAUUUCACAUACAGAAGCCCUGAUAGCGAGAAGAUAGAGGGCCACUGUUGGCCCACUGAUGGCAAAGCUGGCGUUUUCUGGUCGGCCCACUAGUGUUUAAGCAGAGUAUUAGACAAAAUUCCACAUCAUUCCUCAUUUUUCACUUCCAGUCCAAUUUACUUCUUUUUCCUUCCUUUAUUUUUGUAGUUAUACUUUUUCAAUUAGUUUAGUAAAUAGUUCUGAUCUAGCACAAUGUCAGCAACAACAUUUUCUAUAAAUCCUUUUAUAUCAGGCCAAGUCAUUAUUUAUUUAUUUAUCUAUGUUGUUUAAUAUUUGUCUUGUUGUAUUCUCUGAAAUAAAAGGCAAUGUACAUUUUAAAAUCUGAUUAAGGAGAUUUAAAAACUAGUUAGAGCUUGUAUGCAGGACCGUAAUCUGGGUGGACCAGAGAUGGCAAACAGUCAGCAGGGUGCUGACCUUAUCAAGCCAGCAGACCGAGAUAUAUACUCGCUGUCUGGGAGGCUGUUUGAUUUUUACAGGUGUAAAAUCAUUCUGAGUGGUUAGAUAUGAAAUGUUCUAUUUUAGAGAAACAGAAGUGAUGACAGGAACCAGAUGUCUGAUGCAUUUUCUGCCUAUCACAUUAUUACAUUAAAUAUUCUCAGAUAUGUUGCCCAGUGCCUGAGAUGUUGUUGUCUUAUGAUAGUUUUGUGAUUAGGUUUUGGUCUAAAAUGCAUAUUUUUAAAUAUGUGGGACAGAGCGGUACAUGCAAGGUACUGUAAGGCAAAAGAGCACCCAAUAAAAAAAACUUCAAAUUA